AUCGCUUCUUGGCCUUUUGGCUAAGAUCAAGUGUAGUGUAAAUAAGAAUUCAAUGCAAUAUUAAACAAAGCUGCAAUACAGUUCAAUAAAACAAUAAAUCUUU